rnacentral:rRNA from 1 species
AGUGAACGCUGGCGGUAGGCCUAACACAUGCAAGUCGAACGGCAGCACAGUAAGAGCUUGCUCUUACGGGUGGCGAGUGGCGGACGGGUGAGGAAUACAUCGGAAUCUACUUUUUCGUGGGGGAUAACGUAGGGAAACUUACGCUAAUACCGCAUACGACCUACGGGUGAAAGCAGGGGAUCUUCGGACCUUGCGCGAUUGAAUGAGCCGAUGUCGGAUUAGCUAGUUGGCGGGGUAAAGGCCCACCAAGGCGACGAUCCGUAGCUGGUCUGAGAGGAUGAUCAGCCACACUGGAACUGAGACACGGUCCAGACUCCUACGGGAGGCAGCAGUGGGGAAUAUUGGACAAUGGGCGCAAGCCUGAUCCAGCCAUACCGCGUGGGUGAAGAAGGCCUUCGGGCUGUAAAGCCCUUUUGUUGGGAAAGAAAAGCAGCAGGUUAAUACCCCGCUGUUCUGACGGUACCCAAAGAAUAAGCACCGGUUAACUUCGUG